rnacentral:rRNA from 1 species
CGGCGGACGGGUGAGUAACGCGUGGGUAACCUGCCUCAUACAGGGGGAUAACAGUUAGAAAUGGCUGCUAAUACCGCAUAAGACCACAGUACUGCAUGGUACAGUGGUAAAAACUCCGGUGGUAUGAGAUGGACCCGCGUCUGAUUAGGUAGUUGGUGAGGUAACGGCCUACCAAGCCGACGAUCAGUAGCCGACCUGAGAGGGUGACCGGCCACAUUGGGACUGAGACACGGCCCAA